UACGGAGGGUGCAAGCGUUAUCCGGAUUCACUGGGUUUAAAGGGUGCGUAGGUGGGCAGGUAAGUCAGUGGUGAAAUCUCCGAGCUUAACUCGGAAACUGCCGUUGAUACUAUUUGUCUUGAAUAUUGUGGAGGUAAGCGGAAUAUGUCAUGUAGCGGUGAAAUGCUUAGAUAUGACAUAGAACACCAAUUGCGAAGGCAGCUUACUACACAACGAUUGACGCUGAGGCACGAAAGCGUGGGGAUUAAACAGG
rnacentral:rRNA from 1 species